GUCAGAUUAGUUUAAGUGGUAAAACGUCGCAUUGUGGCUACGAUGAUAAAAGUUCAAUUCUUUUAUUUGACC
rnacentral:tRNA from 1 species